UACGGAGGAUGCAAGCGUUGUCCGGAUUUAUUGGGUUUAAAGGGUGCGUAGGCGGCCUUUUAAGUUUGUGGUGAAAACGUUCGGCUUAACCGAAGACCCGCCAUUGAUACUGAUAGGCUUGAGUGCGACAGAGGGUGUUGGAAUGUGUGGUGUAGCGGUGAAAUGCUUAGAUAUCACGCAGAACACCAAUUGCGAAGGCAGAUGCCUAUGUCGUAACUGACGCUGAGGCGCGAAAGCGUGGGGAGCAAACAGG
rnacentral:rRNA from 1 species